UACGUAGGUGGCAAGCGUUGUCCGGAUUUACUGGGCGUAAAGGGCGUGCAGGCGGUUUGUUAAGUGCAGUGUGAAAGCUCCCGGCUCAACUGGGAGAGGUCUUUGCAUACUGGCAAACUCGAGGGAGGCAGAGGAAAGUGGAAUUCCCGGUGUAGUGGUGAUAUGCGUAGAUAUCAGGAAGAACACCCGUGGCUAAGGCGGCUCUCUAGUGCGGUACUGACGCUGAGACGCGAAAGCGUGGGGAGCGAACAGG
rnacentral:rRNA from 1 species